GACGAACGCUGGCGGCGCGCUUAACACAUGCAAGUCGAACGGAAAGGCCUGCUUUCCCUUGUGGAUUGCGGGUACUCGAGUGGCGAACGGGUGAGUAACACGUGAGUGAUCUGCCCCCAACUUGGGUAUAAGCCUGGGAAACUGGGUCUAAUUCCCGAUAGGACUGCAGGGUGGUGCCUGUGGUGGAAAACGAUUUUCUAGUGGUUGGGGAUGAGCUCGCGGCCUAUCAGCUUGUUGGUGGGGUAAUGGCCUACCAAGGCGGCGACGGGUAGCCGGCCUGAGAGGGUGGACGGCCACAUAGGGACUGAGAUACGGCCCAGACUCCUACGGGAGGCAGCAGUGGGGAAUAUUGCACAAUGGGCGGAAGCCUGAUGCAGCGACGCCGCGUGGGGGAUGACGGCCUUCGGGUUGUAAACUCCUUUCGACCGCGAGGAAGCCACCUGGUUGGAAGGGUGGUGACGGUAGUGGUAGAAGAAGCACCGGCUAACUACGUG
rnacentral:rRNA from 1 species